UACAGAGGUAGCAAGCGUUGUCCGGAUUUACUGGGCGUAAAGGGCUUGUAGGUGGCUUUUUAAGUCAGGUGUGAAAUCGUCCCGCUUAACGGGACAAUUGCAUUUGAUACUGAUUGGCUUGAGUGCAGGAUGGGAAACUGGAAUUUCCGGUGUAGCGGUGAAAUGCGUAGAUAUCGGAAAGAACACCGGUGGCGAAGGCGGGUUUCUGGCCUGCAACUGACACUGAGGAGCGAAAGCCAGGGGAGCAAAC
rnacentral:rRNA from 1 species